rnacentral:rRNA from 1 species
AUGGCGCUGCGCACCGUUGCCGCGAAGCUGAAGGCCCCCGUCGCCUCUCUCAAGCAGGCCUGGGCGGUCUGCCGUCCUCAGGCUAAGCACCCUUUGGAGGGCCUGAAUGUUGAUCCGCUCACCCUCCAGGAGAUGAAGGCCCUCGAGAGGGCCGUUAGGGCAGGCGAAAUGAAGCAGACUUUGGUUACCAUUGGCUUCAUGGGUGGUUUGACUGGUGCGGUUGCCCAUUUGCUCCAUUCAGACUUAGCUGCCCGUGAGGCGACGGCGGAGGCGGAGGCGGAGGCGGCGGUACGUGAGGUGCUUGAUUCGCUUGAUUCAGAUGUCAAUGCGGUUGGUACAAACAAAGACUAA